GUUCCCGACAGGCCCUGGGAGGCCGCCCCUCAGGUCCUCCCUUGCCCCCCUCUGCUCGGCCUGCUUGGGAAUCUCUGAGGGGCCCGCGCAGCAGUCGCGCCAGGCUGCACGACGCGGGGCUGCGGCUGGCGUCGGUCCCAGCGACGGCCACAGCGUGGCAGCAGCGAGCGCCCAGCGCGGUCGCAAUAAAUAAUCUGCCCGCGGCAGCCGCAGUCAGGCAGCCCGAGGCCCUGCGACGCAAACGCUCAGCUUUAUCCGCGCUGAGUGCACCCACAGCGCCGGUGGACGUCCCAAACAUCUACAGCCCCUUCUUAAUUUUCGAAUGCACACCAAGGUAUUAUCUUAAGGUGGAAAAACAACAACAACGACCAGAACCACAGAACAAACAAAAAGAACUCGAGCCCAGAACCUCAGGAUCGUUUCUGGUCGCAGUCCCAGGAAGCUCCCGGGGCAAAUCUGGCCAACGCGCAACCAGGCCAAGCAACGGUCUGUGCCACCCCUCCACAUAAAGUCAAUGCCCACGGUACCCUCCGUGCCUCCCGGGCGGCUUCACAGUCCCCUCCCGGCUCGCGGAAAGUGGGGCCCGCGGUCGGCGGCCCGCUGCGCCGAUGUGGGGGUGGUGGGGUCCCCCUAUCGCCCAGACGCGGUUUGCGUCCUUCUUUCAACCUUAGCUGCGGGCCCCUGCCACUCUCAAUAACACCACUACAUUCUCUGCACCGAAACUUCCCGCCAAGCAACACCCAGCCAAUUAACCCCAUCCUCUCCUCCAACACAGAGUUCCACCCACGCACCUAGUCCCUCUCCCCGCGCUUCAGACACAUCUGUCAUCGGAAAACCGCGUGAAAGGAAGCAGGCAAUCAGCAGAAGAACCUGGCCGAAUUAGUAAGUUUUUGUUUGUUUGUUUUUUCCCCCUCAUUCUACCUUUCUCUCCAGAAACCGAUUCCCUCAGAAUAGAAGGUGCUGUGUUGACACUAAUAAAAAGCAGGUCGAUUAAUUCACUUUGCCCUCACCUCUUCCCACCUCCCCAGGUCGGGAACUGUCUUCAAUUGUUGGGAAAUUCAACCGAGCCAACUGGGUCAUGAAUGAAAGAAAAAAAAAAAAUCCAAACCCGGGAGACUGGCAAGGAACGCGGAGGGCAGGGCCACUUCUUUUUGGGCUCGGCAAGGUCGCUGGGGAAGAGGGGAGAGACCUCACUGCUCCUGCCCCAUGCCAGGGCGCUGUGCCACUGAAAGGAGGCUGGCAUUCACUGCCAUGAUGGCGGCUCCCAGAAGCUCCUGCCCCUCUGACAGCUGUCGCUUGGGCAGCCGGGGAGACGAAUUGUCCUCCUUCCUGGUGCCAGAGGACGCAGGAAAUUAGCCAGGUUGCGAGUUGCGAAGCGGCCGCCGCGGCGCCGGGAACUGGACGCGCCCCACCUCCAGCGGGAACGGCCGGGCCGGGCCGGGCCGGGGCCUCGUCUCGCUCGCCAUCGCCGGACAAAGCGCAGCCAAGCCCGGCUGGAAGGCAGAGCUCCGAAGCAGGCAGGACGGAGCGGAGCAAAAGAAUGCGGCUCUAUUCUCGCAAGGGAAAUUAUAAAAAAGUUCAUGUUCACGGUUCCCAUCCACAUGACCGACAGCGGCCAAUGGAAGGGCCGAACAACUCAUAAAGUUGUAUUGCAAAGUUGUAAAUUUUCAUAAACAACAACGGAUUUA